GUGAAUCAUCAAAUUUUUGAACGCAAAUCGCACUCUCUUCGGAGAGUAUGCCUGUUUGAGGGUCAGCCUAAAAAAAAUCGACAUCGUUGCUGUUUCGCGGUGGCGUUCGUCGGAAAUUGGGUUAUCUUAAAUCUUUUGGUUAUGCGACUUAAAAUUUUCUUUACGUUUCCAUAUGCAUGUCCUAUAUUUAUUUCUUUACACGCUUAAUU
rnacentral:misc_RNA from 1 species